UACGUAGGCAGCAAGCGUUGUUCGGAGUUACUGGGCGUAAAGGGUGUGUAGGCGGUUGUUUAAGUUUGGUGUGAAAUCUCCCGGCUCAACUGGGAGGGUGCGCCGAAUACUGAAUGACUAGAGUGCGGGAGAGGAAAGUGGAACUCCUGGUGUAGCGGUGAAAUGCGUAGAUAUCAGGAGGAACACCGGUGGUGUAGACGGCUUUCUGGACCGUAACUGACGCUGAGACACGAAAGCGUGGGUAGCAAACAGG
rnacentral:rRNA from 1 species